GCCUUCGUAGCUCAGAGGUAGAGCGCUUGGUUGAAGCCCAAGAGGUCGAAAGCUCGAAACUUUCCGAAGGCA
rnacentral:tRNA from 1 species